rnacentral:lncRNA from 1 species
UCUCUGUAUCUUUCUCCAAUGUUCGUGGCGCCUUGACUCCGUUCCCCGCAUCAACAUUCCAUUUCCGGCCUUAAAACUACUGCUACCGGACAAUACCAACAGUGUUCAUUGUUAAAUCGUUUUUUGAUCGUAAGAAACUCAGAUAAAAAUGAAAAAGAAAGAGAAAAAUAAAUGGAGAAGAUGAUGAAUAUUUAAUCAUUGUCUGAGGAGGAAAUGUUACUUUCCUGUUUUGCACUUGGUCCCGUGAGUGACAGCCGAAAGUGGCGAGAACCAGAAGAGAUUCCAUUUCCGCCGUGGUGCGUGAGCGUCUGUGACUCAGACUGAAACAUCUCUCUCUCUCUCUCUCUCUUUUGUUUCUUUGUUUGCUUUCUCUCUAAUUUUUUUUAAUUACUCCUUUCAGCAGAUUCUUUUCCUCCCUUUGUCCUGUGCAGUUUUUGGCCGGAGUUCAAGUUUCACGGCCGUUUGGUCGCUGCGAAAAUGCCGGGAAAACGAGUUAUUAUAGCAUUGUAAUCGCCGUUGCAUGUUUCAUCAGAUUUGUUUAUCAUUUGGUAUGCUUCCUUUUUUCCCGCUUCUCUCUUCCUUUAUAUUUUGUCGUUUUGGCCGUUAAUUCUCCCAAACGAAACCGCCAUUGAUUGGCUG